rnacentral:rRNA from 1 species
UACGAAGGGGGCUAGCGUUGCUCGGAAUCACUGGGCGUAAAGGGCGCGUAGGCGGGCUCUUAAGUCAGGGGUGAAAGCCCAAGGCUCAACCUUGGAAUUGCCUUUGAUACUGAGGGCCUUGAGACCGGAAGAGGUCGGCGGAACUGCGAGUGUAGAGGUGAAAUUCGUAGAUAUUCGCAAGAACACCAGUGGCGAAGGCGGCUCACUGGCCCGAUACUGACGCUGAGG